rnacentral:rRNA from 1 species
AGCGAACGCUGGCGGCAGGCCUAACACAUGCAAGUCGAACGGAUCCUUCGGGAUUAGUGGCGGACGGGUGAGUAGCACGUGGGAACGUGCCCUUUGGUUCGGAACAACUCAGGGAAACUUGAGCUAAUACCGGAUGUGCCCUUCGGGGGAAAGAUUUAUCGCCAUUGGAGCGGCCCGCGUCUGAUUAGCUAGUUGGUGAGGUAAAGGCUCACCAAGGCGACGAUCAGUAGCUGGUCUGAGAGGAUGAUCAGCCACAUUGGGACUGAGCCACGGCCCAAACUCCUACGGGAGGCAGCAGUGGGGAAUCUUGCGCAAUGGGCGAAAGCCUGACGCAGCCAUGCCGCGUGAAUGAUGAAGGUCUUAGGAUUGUAAAAUUCUUUCACCGGGGACGAUAAUGACGGUACCCGGAGAAGAAGCCCCGGCUAACUUCGUGCCAGCCGCCGCAGUAAGAC